rnacentral:misc_RNA from 1 species
GUUUGGCUGUGGGUUAGUUGUGCCGUUCUGCUGGAACACCGUGGGAAGGCAGUAGACGCGGGCAGUCAGCUAGCAGAGACCUGUCGGCCAUGGAGCCUAAUGAUAGUACCAGUACCGCUGUGGAGGAGCCUGACAGCUUGGAGGUGUUGGUGAAGACCUUGGACUCUCAAACUCGUACCUUUAUUGUGGGGGCCCAGAUGAAUGUAAAAGAGUUUAAGGAGCACAUUGCUGCCUCUGUCAGCAUCCCAUCUGAAAAACAACGGCUCAUUUACCAGGGACGAGUUCUGCAAGAUGAUAAGAAGCUUCAGGAAUACAGUGUGUGUCUAUUUUUCUGCAGAUGUUGGGGGAAAGGUUAUCCACCUGGUGGAACGGGCUCCUCCUCAGACUCACCUCCCUUCUGGGGCAUCUUCUGGGACGGGGUCUGCCUCAGCCACUCAUGGUGGGGGAUCCCCCCCUGGUACUCGGGGGCCUGGGGCCUCUGUUCAUGACCGGAAUGCCAACAGCUAUGUCAUGGUUGGAACCUUCAAUCUUCCUAGUGACGGCUCUGCUGUGGAUGUUCACAUCAACAUGGAACAGGCCCCGAUUCAGAGUGAGCCCCGGGUACGGCUGGUG